AACCCGAGACACCAAUAUAAUCCCAAGAGCUCUGCUCGAGGGAUUAUACUGGUUGAGGGUUGAUACGGUGUGUGAUAUUGAAAAAGCCAUAUCAUAUACAAUUUAUUAUAUACAUAUACCUCAAGUAGAUGUUUUUUAUGUGACAUGACAUCAUACAGAUAAGGUUUGAAAUGACGUCAUACAGAUUAUAGGUUUGACAUGACGUUAUACAGAUUAGGGUUUCGAUGCAACAGUGACUGCAAUUGAUGAUGUGACGUCAUACAGAUUAAAGGUGUGAUAAAGCUUUUGCAACCGUGCUGAUAUCGAUAUCAUCACGGGUGGCUGAUACAGCACGCUUGCCAUUGAUUGUAUUACACAUACAAUUUAUCUGUAUUUACUACUAAGUAUAUAAUAAAUAGAGAAUAUCAUAUGGGGUUUCAAUAUCGCAUCCGUAUCAACCCGAGACACCAAUAUAAUCCCAAGAGCUCUGCUCGAGGGAUUAUACUGGUUGAGGGUUGAUACGGUGUGUGAUAUUGAAAAAGCCAUAUCAUAUACACUUUAUUAUAUACAUAUAUCUCAAGUAGAUGUUUUUUAUGUGACAUGACGUCAUACAGAUAAGGAGGAUUGAAAUGACGGCAUACAGAUUAUAGGUUUGACAUGACGUCAUACAGAUUAGGGUUUUGAUAAAGCCUUUGCAACAGUGACUGCAAUCGAUGACGUGACGUCAUACAGAUUAAAGGUGUGUUUAAGCUUUUGCAACCGUGCUGAUAUCGAUAUCAUCACAGGUGGCUGAUACAGCACGCUUGCCAAUGAUUGUAUUACACAUACAAUUUAUCUGUAUUUACUACUAAGUAUAUAUUAAAUACAUAUAU
rnacentral:lncRNA from 1 species